GAGUUGUGAAAUGCAAACCACACAGAUACAUGUAUAUAUAUACAUAAUACCUGUGUUCCAAGAGAACUCAAGGCAAUGGGUAGAAAUUCAGAAUAGCCAACUAACUUCUGAGGUGAAAUCUAUGAUAUUGAGUGUAUAUUCCCCUCAAGAUAUAUUACUUGCUCUUGAAACCAACCAGCAGCUGCUUACUGCUUAGUACUACUUCAUCCACAGCCAAUCAUGUUCAAGUAAGUUUGCUCUACCUAAUUUCAAUAGACAAUAAACACACUUUUUUUUAGCAAUUGUUAUCUUCGUGAUUUACAAUAUAUAUAUAUAUAUAUAUAUAUAUAUAUAU
rnacentral:lncRNA from 1 species